rfam:Trichobilharzia regenti genome assembly, scaffold: TRE_scaffold0011503
GUACUGCUGAAGUGUCCCAAACUAGGAUGAAACAGCUGUCCAGUAC